rnacentral:tRNA from 1 species
GUUUCCGUAGUGUAGUGGUUAUCACGUUUGCCUCACACGCAAAACGUCCCCUGUUCGAAACAGGGCGGAAACA